UACGUAGGGUGCAAGCGUUGUCCGGAAUUAUUGGGCGUAAAGAGCUCGUAGGCGGCUUGUUGCGUCGACUGUGAAAACCCGCGGCUUAACUGCGGGCUUGCAGUUGAUACGGGCAGGCUAGAGUUCGGUAGGGGAGACUGGAAUUCCUGGUGUAGCGGUGAAAUGCGCAGAUAUCAGGAGGAACACCGGUGGCGAAGGCGGGUCUCUGGGCCGAUACUGACGCUGAGGAGCGAAAGCGUGGGGAGCAAACGGG
rnacentral:rRNA from 1 species